UACGAAGGGGGCUAGCGUUGUCCGGAAUUAUUGGGCGUAAAGAGCUCGUAGGCGGUUUGUCGCGUCGGUUGUGAAAACCCAAGGCUCAACCUUGGGCCUGCAAUCGAUACGGGCAGACUAGAGUACUGCAGGGGAGACUGGAAUUCCUGGUGUAGCGGUGGAAUGCGCAGAUAUCAGGAGGAACACCGGUGGCGAAGGCGGGUCUCUGGGCAGUAACUGACGCUGAGGAGCGAAAGCGUGGGGAGCGAACAGG
rnacentral:rRNA from 1 species